GUGGGGAAUCUUAGACAAUGGGGGAAACCCUGAUCUAGCCAUGCCGCGUGAUCGAUGAAGGCCUUAGGGUUGUAAAGAUCUUUCAGAUGGGAAGAUAAUGACGGUACCAUCAGAAGAAGCCCCGGCUAACUCCGUGCCAGCAGCCGCGGUAAUACGGAGGGGGCUAGCGUUAUUCGGAAUUACUGGGCGUAAAGCGCACGUAGGCGGAUUAGAAAGUCAGAGGUGAAAUCCCAGGGCUCAACCUUGGAACUGCCUUUGAAACUCCUAGUCUUGAGGUCGAGAGAGGUGAGUGGAAUUCCGAGUGUAGAGGUGAAAUUCGUAGAUAUUCGGAAGAACACCAGUGGCGAAGGCGACACACUGGCCCGUUACUGACGCUGAGGCGCGAAAGCGUGGGUAGCAAACAGGAUUAGAUACCCUAGUAGUCC
rnacentral:rRNA from 1 species